rnacentral:miRNA from 14 species
UUAGGGUGCGUCACGUGACCGGCUCGCCGUUCCGCCGUCACGUGACGGGGCUCCGCG